AACGAGGGCCCUCGGGCCCGAAGCAACUGAUACCCUGCUUCCAGGAAAAGCCUCUAAGCUUCAGUCAUAGAGUGACCGUACCGCAAACCGACACAGGUGGGCUGGUAGAGAAUACCAAGGCGCUUGAGAGAACUCAGGAGAAGGAACUCGGCAAAUUGAUACCGUAACUUCGGGAGAAGGUAUGCCCCGUUAGCUUGUAGGAGUACAUCCGAAGGGCGAAGGGGCCGCAGAGAAUCGGUGGCUGCGACUGUUUAUUAAAAACACAGCACUGUGCAAACACGAAAGUGGACGUAUACGGUGUGACGCCUGCCCGGUACCGGAAGGUUAAGUGAUGGGGUGCAAGCUCUUGAUCGAAGCCCCGGUAAACGGCGGCCGUAACAAUAACGGUCCUAAGGUAGCGAAAUUCCUUGUCGGGUAAGUUCCGACCUGCACGAAUGGCGUAACGAUGGCCACACUGUCUCCUCCUGAGACUCAGCGAAGUUGAAAUGUUUGUGAAGAUGCAAUCUACCCGCGGCUAGACGGAAAGACCCCAUGAACCUUUACUGUAGCUUUGCAUUGGACUUUGACGGGAUUUGUGUAGGAUAGGUGGGAGGCUAUGAAACCAGGACGCUAGUUCGGGUGGAGCCAACCUUGAAAUACCACCCUGGUGUCGUCGAGGUUCUAACCCAGGUCUGUGAAUCCAGAUCGGGGACCGUGCAUGGUGGGCAGUUUGACUGGGGCGGUCUCCUCCUAAAGCGUAACGGAGGAGUACGAAGGUCACCUAGGUACGGUCGGACAUCGUACUGAUAGUGCAAUGGCAAAAGGUGGCUUGACUGCGAGACCCACAAGUCGAGCAGGUGCGAAAGCAGGUCAUAGUGAUCCGGUGGUUCUGUAUGGAAGGGCCAUCGCUCAACGGAUAAAAGGUACUCUGGGGAUAACAGGCUGAUUCCGCCCAAGAGUUCACAUCGACGGCGGAGUUUGGCACCUCGAUGUCGGCUCAUCACAUCCUGGGGCUGUAGCCGGUCCCAAGGGUAUGGCUGUUCGCCAUUUAAAGUGGUACGUGAGCUGGGUUUAAAACGUCGUGAGACAGUUUGGUCCCUAUCUGCCGUGGGCGCUGGAAGUUUGAGAGGGUUUGCUCCUAGUACGAGAGGACCGGAGUGAACGCACCCCUGGUGUACCGGUUGUGACGCCAGUCGCAUCGCCGGGUAGCUAUGUGCGGAAGAGAUAACCGCUGAAAGCAUCUAAGCGGGAAACUCGCCUCAAGAUGAGACUUCCCCGGGGCCUCGAGUCCCCUGAAGGGUCGUUGAAGACCACAACGUUGAUAGGUCGGGUGUGGAAGCGUGGCAACACGUUAAGCUAACCGAUACUAAUUGCCCGUGUGGCUUGAUCC
rnacentral:rRNA from 1 species